CCAGCUAAGGUCCCAAAGUCAUGGUUAAGUGGGAAACGAUGUGGGAAGGCACAGACAGCCAGGAUGUUGGCUUAGAAGCAGCCAUCAUUUAAAGAAAGCGUAAUAGCUCACUGGUCGAGUCGGCCUGCGCGGAAGAUGUAACGGGGCUAAACCAUGCACCGAAGCUGCGGCAGCGACGUUUAGGCGUUGUUGGGUAGGGGAGCGUUCUGUAAGCCGUUGAAGGUGACCUGUGAGGGUUGCUGGAGGUAUCAGAAGUGCGAAUGCUGACAUAAGUAACGAUAAUGCGGGUGAAAAACCCGCACGCCGGAAGACCAAGGGUUCCUGUCCAACGUUAAUCGGGGCAGGGUGAGUCGACCCCUAAGGCGAGGCUGAAAAGCGUAGUCGAUGGGAAACAGGUUAAUAUUCCUGUACUUGGUGUUACUGCGAAGGGGGGACGGAGAAGGCUAGGCUGGCCGGGCGACGGUUGUCCCGGUUUAAGCGUGUAGGGGGAGUGACCAGGUAAAUCCGGUUGCUUAUCAACCCUGAGGCGUGAUGACGAUGCACCACGGUGCAGAAGCAGUUGAUGCCAUGCUUCCAGGAAAAGCCUCUAAGCAUCAGGUAACAUUAAAUCGUACCCCAAACCGACACAGGUGGUCAGGUAGAGAAUACUCAGGCGCUUGAGAGAACUCGGGUGAAGGAACUAGGCAAAAUGGUGCCGUAACUUCGGGAGAAGGCACGCUGGCGUUAGGUGAAAGGACUAGCUCCUGGAGCUGAAGCCAGUCGCAGAUACCAGCUGGCUGCAACUGUUUAAUAAAAACACAGCACUGUGCAAACACGAAAGUGGACGUAUACGGUGUGACGCCUGCCCGGUGCUGGAAGGUUAAUUGAUGGGGUCAGCCGCAAGGCGAAGCUCUUGAUCGAAGCCCCAGUAAACGGCGGCCGUAACUAUAACGGUCCUAAGGUAGCGAAAUUCCUUGUCGGGUAAGUUCCGACCUGCACGAAUGGCGUAAUGAUGGCCAGGCUGUCUCCACCCGAGACUCAGUGAAAUUGAACUCGCUGUGAAGAUGCAGUGUACCCGCGGCAAGACGGAAAGACCCCGUGAACCUUUACUAUAGCUUGACACUGAACAUUGAGCCUUGAUGUGUAGGAUAGGUGGGAGGCCUUGAAGUGUGGACGCCAGUCUGCAUGGAGCCAACCUUGAAAUACCACCCUUUAAUGUUUGAUGUUCUAACUCGGCCCCAUGAUCUGGGGUGAGGACAGUGUCUGGUGGGUAGUUUGACUGGGGCGGUCUCCUCCCAAAGAGUAACGGAGGAGCACGAAGGUUAGCUAAUCACGGUCGGACAUCGUGAGGUUAGUGCAAAGGCAUAAGCUAGCUUGACUGCGAGAGUGACGGCUCGAGCAGGUACGAAAGUAGGUCUUAGUGAUCCGGUGGUUCUGAAUGGAAGGGCCAUCGCUCAACGGAUAAAAGGUACUCCGGGGAUAACAGGCUGAUACCGCCCAAGAGUUCAUAUCGACGGCGGUGUUUGGCACCUCGAUGUCGGCUCAUCACAUCCUGGGGCUGAAGUAGGUCCCAAGGGUAUGGCUGUUCGCCAUUUAAAGUGGUACGCGAGCUGGGUUUAGAACGUCGUGAGACAGUUCGGUCCCUAUCUGCCGUGGGCGUUGGAAGAUUGAGAGGGGCUGCUCCUAGUACGAGAGGACCGGAGUGGACGAAUCACUGGUGUUCGGGUUGUCAUGCCAAUGGCAUUGCCCGGUAGCUAAAUUCGGAAGAGAUAACCGCUGAAAGCAUCUAAGCGGGAAACUUGCCUCGAGAUGAGUCUUCCCUGGGGCUUAAAGCCCCCUGAAGGAACGUUAAAGACUAUGACGUUGAUAGGCUGGGUGUGUAAGUGCAGCGAUGUAUUGAGCUAACCAGUACUAAUGAUCCGUGAGGCUUAACCUU
rnacentral:rRNA from 1 species